rnacentral:lncRNA from 1 species
CGGGGAUAUAGAAAGGCAUAUUAGCUAUGAAUCUCAAAGGAAAGCAAAAGACUUGAGGAGGGGAGUGACAAAAUAAUGAGGAACAAUCUUGAUCAUAAUACAUUGACGCUAGGUGCAAAAGAAUGGAGAAGUAACAAAAUAAUGCAAAACAAACUUGAUCAUAAUACAUUGACGCUAGGUGCAAAAGAAUGGAGAAGUAACAAAAUAAUGCGAAACAAACUUGAACAUAAUACAUAAAAACUAAGUGUCAUCAACUAUACUUAACAUCAUUGUAGUUGUUGAAUAAAUGGAACAAAAUGCCCUCAAGGCCUAGCUCGAGUGGCAAAAGGUGGAGGAUUUGUGGCUUAGGUCACAUGUUCAAGCCCCACACCAUGCAAAGCGAAG